GCUAUGGUGGUUGCUAUGGUGGUUGCUAGGUUAAUCUCAUUGAUUGCUAUGUUUAACUGUGGAAGUGGUUGCUAGGCUGUUGCUAGGGUACUUGAGGUGGUUGC